UACGAAGGGGGCUAGCGUUGUUCGGAAUCACUGGGCGUAAAGCGCACGUAGGCGGAUUGUUAAGUCGGGGGUGAAAUCCUGAGGCUCAACCUCAGAACUGCCUUCGAUACUGGCGAUCUUGAGUCCGGAAGAGGUUGGUGGAACAGCUAGUGUUGAGGUGAAAUUCGUAGAUAUUAGCUAGAACACCAGUGGCGAAGGCGGCCAACUGGUCCGGAACUGACGCUGAGGUGCGAAAGCGUGGGGAGCAAACAGG
rnacentral:rRNA from 1 species